UGGAGAUAGCCUAGAGGGCUAUGCAAGGGGGUGAUUUUUUAGACUCAUCAUGGAAGAUUGGAGUAGCUAGGACACACCUGUGGGCUUGGGGAAUUGGGGGCAAGGAAUGUCUUGUCAGUGCUCAGGUUCAUGUAAAUGUUGUAUCGGCAGGGAUGGGCCUUGGUUCCCCAGAGACAAGGAAAGCAUUUGGGGUGAAGGCGGGAAGGCUAGAAGAGAGUAGAUGGAAGAUUCUAUGGGACUUGUUUUAUUUCCUGUGUUGCAAGUGGGCAGAGGCCACAUUUGUGUUGCAUUUCCCAUGGUCUAGCCUCAUUUCUCGAAAGUGUUUGGUUCCAUUGUUUGUCGUGAAACUCACUCAGAAGAACAGAUAGAGACUCCCAUGUA
rnacentral:lncRNA from 1 species